CAGCACUGUCCAAGGCAGGAAAGGCGGUCCAAAUGUCCAUGAUGGCAAAAAGAGAGAAAAGGGGACCACUACACAGGCCUCUCUAAUCAAGGAGGAAAUUGUCCCAGAGACCCCAGCAGCUUUCCUCCAAAUGUCUUCUGGGCCAGAACAGGGUCACAUGCAUACCUCAGGACCCAUCACCAGCCGAGGGGGUGGCCAAGACCAAUCAUGACCAAAGCCCUGGCCCUAGAACAAAACUGGGGUUUAGUUAUAGAAGAAGACAGGUGAGGGCUGUUGCUUGAGCAGCCAACAGUGUCUGCCACCCUGCAGAAAGCCCGAAGAAGUGAGAGUUUGUCUAGGCAAGGGUCACAAGAGUGGAACCAGCUUCUGCUCACUCGACCCUCCAAUGCACACGUGCAGGAUGAAGCAUUUACACAAGCACCGGCGCUUCAAGACGGCAGCAUGUAAAGAAGGGUACGCAGAAAUCAUGAGGCAAAGCCCCCACGGCGGACGCAAGACAACUCUGCAGAAUCUGAAUUCUAUGAUCAAAGA